rnacentral:rRNA from 1 species
UACAGAGGAGCCAAGCGUUGUCCGGAUUGACUGGGCGUAAAGCGCACGCAGGCGGUUUGGCGCGUGGGGUGUGAAAUCUGGCCGCUUAACGGCCAGGCGCCAUUCCAUACGGCUAGACUGGAGUGAUGCAGAGGUCGGUGGAAUUGCCGGUGUAGUGGUGAAAUGCGUAGAGAUCGGCAGGAACACCCAGGGGGAAGCCAGCCGACUGGGCAUCGACUGACGCUGAGGUGCGAGAGCGUGGGGAGCGAACCGG